GAAGAGUUUGAUGAAAGGGUUCUCUCUCUCUCUCUCUCUCUCAAAGUCAAGUUUUUUCUGCAUUCUGAUAUUUGUUUGUUUUAGCCAUGUUUAGAUUAGUUUCUAUGUAUGCCAACUAUUUUGUUUACUUAUAUUCCAGCGACCUAUGUUCCAUACUGAAUGCAUAUUUGUGCAGUGGUUCUUAGUUAUAUUCUGAUAAAGAGAGAAAGAAUUGGGGAUAGAGGUAUAAGGCCUUAGAUUCUUUGCCUCCAACAGAAGAAAUGAUUCAUGUGUGCCUCCCUUUUUGUUAUAUCUUACAUAUUUUUUUACCUGGGCAGAUAUCACAUAGUCAUGGUUGGCAGCUAAUAUCCAAAAUUUUAGUGUUGUUAGUACACUGAGGUUUAUCUUAUUUUGGUAAAGGUUUUGUCUAUCAAGAACUACAUAUACUCGACAUGGUGUCGUGGUAUCUAUAGUUGUUGUGGAGCCUGCUGGUAUUCUCACCUUCCACUGCCUCUUUCCCCUCUCUGUAUGAACCCUUUCCUCAUUUGUUUUUGUUCGUGAUAUACUUUGCUUGUUUUGGCUCCUUUUAAUUGAUGCAUUAUUUUGUCUAUUUUUGUGUACUCAGGCGCCUAUGCAAGCUACAUUGGAAGAAUCCAUGUAUUUAGUUGU
rnacentral:lncRNA from 1 species